rnacentral:rRNA from 1 species
UUAGAGUUUGAUCCUGGCUCAGAACGAACGCUGGCGGCAUGCCUAACACAUGCAAGUCGAACGCGUGUAGCAAUACACGAGUGGCGCACGGGUGAGUAACGCGUGGGAACCUGCCCUGGAGUGUGGGAUAACCCGGCGAAAGCCGGGCUAAUACCGCAUACGACCUGAGGGUGAAAGAUUUAUCGCUCUAGGAGGGGCCCGCGUCGGAUUAGCUAGUUGGUGAGGUAACGGCUCACCAAGGCGAUGAUCCGUAGCUGGUCUGAGAGGAUGAUCAGCCACACUGGGACUGAGACACGGCCCAGACUCCUACGGGAGGCAGCAGUGGGGAAUAUUGGACAAUGGGGGCAACCCUGAUCCAGCAAUGCCGCGUGGGCGAUGAAGGCCUUCGGGUUGUAAAGCCCUUUUGCACGCGACGAUGAUGACGGUAGCGUGAGAAGAAGCCCCGGCUAACUUCGUGCCAGCAGCCGCGGUA